GACGAACGCUGGCGGCGUGCCUAAUACAUGCAAGUCGAGCGCAGGAAAUCGACGGAACCCUUCGGGGGGAAGUCGACGGAAUGAGCGGCGGACGGGUGAGUAACACGUAAAGAACCUGCCCUCAGGUCUGGGAUAACCACGAGAAAUCGGGGCUAAUACCGGAUGGGUCAUCGGACCGCAUGGUCCGAGGAUGAAAGGCGCUUCGGCGUCGCCUGGGGAUGGCUUUGCGGUGCAUUAGCUAGUUGGUGGGGUAAUGGCCCACCAAGGCGACGAUGCAUAGCCGACCUGAGAGGGUGAUCGGCCACACUGGGACUGAGACACGGCCCAGACUCCUACGGGAGGCAGCAGUAGGGAAUCUUCCACAAUGGACGAAAGUCUGAUGGAGCAACGCCGCGUGAACGAUGAAGGCCUUCGGGUCGUAAAGUUCUGUUGUAAGGGAAGAACAAGUGCCGCAGGCAAUGGCGGCACCUUGACGGUACCUUGCGAGAAAGCCACGGCUAACUACGUGCCAGCAGCCGCCGUAACAC
rnacentral:rRNA from 1 species